UGGAGGGCAAGUCUGGUGCCAGCAGCCGCGGUAAUUCCAGCUCCAAUAGCGUAUAUUAAAGUUGUUGCAGUUAAAAAGCUCGUAGUUGAAUUUCGGGGUCAGUAGGUUGGUCAUGCCACUGGUAUGUACUGGCCUCACUGAUUCCUCCUUCCUGAUGAGCCGUAAUGCCAUUAAUUUGGUGUUGCGAGGAAUCUGGACUGUUACUUUGAAAAAAUUAGAGUGUUUAAAGCAGGCUAACGCUUGAAUACAUUAGCAUGGAAUAAUGAAAUAGGACGUUCGAUCUUAUUUUGUUGGUUUCUAAGAUUGACGUAAUGAUUAAUAGGGAUAGUUGGGGGCAUUAGUAUUCAAUUGUCAGAGGUGAAAUUCUUGGAUUUAUUGAAGACUAACUACUGCGAAAGCAUUUGCCAAGGAUGUUUUCAUUAAUCAAGAACGAAAGUUAGGGGAUCGAAGACGAUCAGAUACCGUCGUAGUCUUAACCAUAACUAUGCCGACUAGGGAUCGGAUGAUGUUAAUUUUUUAAUGACUCAUUCGGCGCCUUACGGGAAAC
rnacentral:rRNA from 1 species